rnacentral:rRNA from 1 species
AUUGAACGCUGGCGGCAGGCCUAACACAUGCAAGUCGAGCGGAUGAAGGGAGCUUGCUCCUGGAUUCAGCAGCGGACGGGUGAGUAAUGCCUAGGAAUCGGCCUGGUAGUGGGGGAUAACGUCCGGAAACGGGCGCUAAUACCGCAUACGUCCUGAGGGAGAAAGUGGGGGAUCUUCGGACCUCACGCUAUCAGAUGAGCCUAGGUCGGAUUAGCUAGUUGGUGGGGUAAAGGCCUACCAAGGCGACGAUCCGUAACUGGUCUGAGAGGAUGAUCAGUCACACAGGAAGAGAGAGACGGUGCAGACUCCUACGGGAGGCAGCGGUGCGGACUAUUGAACCAAAGGCGAAAGCGUGAUCAAGCAAUGUCGCGUGUGUGCAGAUGGGCUUCCGAUUGCAAAGCGCGGCUAGUUGGGCGCAAGGGCAGUAAGUUAAUCCCCCCCUGUAUCGACGUCCCCAACAGAAUAGGCACCGGCCCACUUCGUG